GUGCAACGCAGUGAAGGAGACAUCUCCGACCCUAUAAAUUAGCUUUUCUUUCUUGUUAGUUUUGGAAAACUGCUUAAGACAGACAGUUUGUGAAAAUGAAGCCUUUUGUUCUAUUAUUUUUAUUAUUGGUCAUUGUUGGCCUUGCUCUGGGAUUAAAGGAUCCCAUCUGCGGUCUUCAGCCUGCCAAAAGUGGAAAUGGUUUUACAAUGUGUUUAGCCUAUAUACCGAGCUUUACCUAUCAUCCCGACAGAAACGAAUGUUUGAAAUUUAUUUACGGUGGGUGUUGGGGCAAUGAAAAUCGUUUUCUAAACAAAGAACUUUGUGAGAAAAAGUGCAAGGAAUAAUAUUUGAUGUAGCGUUCAUAUAAAGGUUAAUCAGAUUUUUCAAUCAG